rnacentral:rRNA from 1 species
UACGGAGGGGGCUAGCGUUGUUCGGAAUUACUGGGCGUAAAGGGCGCGCAGGCGGCUGCUCAAGUCAGGCGUGAAAGGCCUGGGCUCAACCCGGGAAUUGCGCUUGAGACUGGGCUGGCUUGAGUGCGGGAGAGGAUGGUGGAAUUCCCAGUGUAGAGGUGAAAUUCGUAGAUAUUGGGAAGAACGCCGGUGGCGAAGGCGGCCAUCUGGACGGUGACUGACGCUGAGACGCGAAAGCGUGGGUAGCAAACGAGG